CAGACCUUUAAUUUUCUGACUACUUAUGCUGCAUCUGCAUCCUUCUUACCUGUCUUCCAUUGAAUCAGCUUCAAUUGAACAGCAGAAGGGACCAUUCCAACCAAGUUAAAAUGAAUAUUGAUGAACUUUCAAAUGCCAAAGUGAUUUACAUAUAAGUUCAAUAUUCUGUGUAAUUUACAGGAAAUAUAGAUUGAGAGAAGAGAACCACUGCAGAAGUGCAAAGGCAACGGUUUGAAUAUUUAUUUAGGUUUACCUGAUUUUUUUAAAG